UUAAGUUAUUAAGGGCGCACGGUGGAUGCCUUGGCACUAGAAGCCGAUGAAGGACGUUACUAACGACGAUAUGCUUUGGGGAGCUGUAAGUAAGCUUUGAUCCAGAGAUUUCCGAAUGGGGAAACCCAGCAUGAGUUAUGUCAUGUUAUCGAUAUGUGAAUACAUAGCAUAUCAGAAGGCACACCCGGAGAACUGAAACAUCUUAGUACCCGGAGGAAGAGAAAGAAAAUUCGAUUCCCUUAGUAGCGGCGAGCGAAACGGGAAGAGCCCAAACCAACAAGCUUGCUUGUUGGGGUUGUAGGACACUCUAUACGGAGUUACAAAGGACGACAUUAGACGAAUCAUCUGGAAAGAUGAAUCAAAGAAGGUAAUAAUCCUGUAGUCGAAAAUGUUGUCUCUCUUGAGUGGAUCCUGAGUACGACGGAGCACGUGAAAUUCCGUCGGAAUCUGGGAGGACCAUCUCCUAAGGCUAAAUACUCUCUAGUGACCGAUAGUGAACCAGUACCGUGAGGGAAAGGUGAAAAGCACCCCGGAAGGGGAGUGAAAUAGAACCUGAAACCGUGUGCUUACAAGUAGUCAGAGCCCGUUAAUGGGUGAUGGCGUGCCUUUUGUAGAAUGAACCGGCGAGUUACGAUUUGAUGCAAGGUUAAGCAGUAAAUGUGGAGCCGUAGCGAAAGCGAGUCUGAAUAGGGCGUUUAGUAUUUGGUCGUAGACCCGAAACCAGGUGAUCUAUCCUUGGUCAGGUUGAAGUUCAGGUAACACUGAAUGGAGGACCGAACCGACUUACGUUGAAAAGUGAGCGGAUGAACUGAGGGUAGCGGAGAAAUUCCAAUCGAACCUGGAGAUAGCUGGUUCUCUCCGAAAUAGCUUUAGGGCUAGCCUCAAGUGAUGAUUAUUGGAGGUAGAGCACUGUUUGGACGAGGGGCCCCUCUCGGGUUACCGAAUUCAGACAAACUCCGAAUGCCAAUUAAUUUAACUUGGGAGUCAGAACAUGGGUGAUAAGGUCCGUGUUCGAAAGGGAAACAGCCCAGACCACCAGCUAAGGUCCCAAAAUAUAUGUUAAGUGGAAAAGGAUGUGGCGUUGCCCAGACAACUAGGAUGUUGGCUUAGAAGCAGCCAUCAUUUAAAGAGUGCGUAAUAGCUCACUAGUCGAGUGACACUGCGCCGAAAAUGUACCGGGGCUAAACAUAUUACCGAAGCUGUGGAUUGUCCUUUGGACAAUGGUAGGAGAGCGUUCUAAGGGCGUUGAAGCAUGAUCGUAAGGACAUGUGGAGCGCUUAGAAGUGAGAAUGCCGGUGUGAGUAGCGAAAGACGGGUGAGAAUCCCGUCCACCGAUUGACUAAGGUUUCCAGAGGAAGGCUCGUCCGCUCUGGGUUAGUCGGGUCCUAAGCUGAGGCCGACAGGCGUAGGCGAUGGAUAACAGGUUGAUAUUCCUGUACCACCUAUAAUCGUUUUAAUCGAUGGGGGGACGCAGUAGGAUAGGCGAAGCGUGCGAUUGGAUUGCACGUCUAAGCAGUAAGGCUGAGUAUUAGGCAAAUCCGGUACUCGUUAAGGCUGAGCUGUGAUGGGGAGAAGACAUUGAGUCUUCGAGUCGUUGAUUUCACACUGCCGAGAAAAGCCUCUAGAUAGAAAAUAGGUGCCCGUACCGCAAACCGACACAGGUAGUCAAGAUGAGAAUUCUAAGGUGAGCGAGCGAACUCUCGUUAAGGAACUCGGCAAAAUGACCCCGUAACUUCGGGAGAAGGGGUGCUCUUUAGGGUUAACGCCCAGAAGAGCCGCAGUGAAUAGGCCCAAGCGACUGUUUAUCAAAAACACAGGUCUCUGCUAAACCGUAAGGUGAUGUAUAGGGGCUGACGCCUGCCCGGUGCUGGAAGGUUAAGAGGAGUGGUUAGCUUCUGCGAAGCUACGAAUCGAAGCCCCAGUAAACGGCGGCCGUAACUAUAACGGUCCUAAGGUAGCGAAAUUCCUUGUCGGGUAAGUUCCGACCCGCACGAAAGGCGUAACGAUUUGGGCACUGUCUCAACGAGAGACUCGGUGAAAUCAUAGUACCUGUGAAGAUGCAGGUUACCCGCGACAGGACGGAAAGACCCCGUGGAGCUUUACUGUAGCCUGAUAUUGAAAUUCGGCACAGCUUGUACAGGAUAGGUAGGAGCCUUUGAAACGUGAGCGCUAGCUUACGUGGAGGCGCUGGUGGGAUACUACCCUAGCUGUGUUGGCUUUCUAACCCGCACCACUUAUCGUGGUGGGAGACAGUGUCAGGCGGGCAGUUUGACUGGGGCGGUCGCCUCCUAAAAGGUAACGGAGGCGCUCAAAGGUUCCCUCAGAAUGGUUGGAAAUCAUUCAUAGAGUGUAAAGGCAUAAGGGAGCUUGACUGCGAGACCUACAAGUCGAGCAGGGUCGAAAGACGGACUUAGUGAUCCGGUGGUUCCGCAUGGAAGGGCCAUCGCUCAACGGAUAAAAGCUACCCCGGGGAUAACAGGCUUAUCUCCCCCAAGAGUUCACAUCGACGGGGAGGUUUGGCACCUCGAUGUCGGCUCAUCGCAUCCUGGGGCUGUAGUCGGUCCCAAGGGUUGGGCUGUUCGCCCAUUAAAGCGGUACGCGAGCUGGGUUCAGAACGUCGUGAGACAGUUCGGUCCCUAUCCGUCGUGGGCGUAGGAAAUUUGAGAGGAGCUGUCCUUAGUACGAGAGGACCGGGAUGGACAUACCUCUGGUGUACCAGUUGUCGUGCCAACGGCAUAGCUGGGUAGCUAUGUGUGGACGGGAUAAGUGCUGAAAGCAUCUAAGCAUGAAGCCCCCCUCAAGAUGAGAUUUCCCAACUUCGGUUAUAAGAUCCCUCAAAGAUGAUGAGGUUAAUAGGUUCGAGGUGGAAGCAUGGUGACAUGUGGAGCUGACGAAUACUAAUCGAUCGAAGACUUAAUCAA
rnacentral:rRNA from 1 species